UAACAUAAUUUAUUUAAGUUACAGAGCUGCUCAUUGUGGGAGAGGAGUGUUUGUACCCUGCAAGUGACGUCAUGUCAACUCCGGCUGCUGUAUGACGUCACGAAAUAACAGGAAGCUGCUGCUCCGCCGUGCACUGAAAUCCGAGGCCAAGCCCGCUUGAGCUGCUGUACCGCUUUUGUUUUCAGAAGCGACCUGCCCACAACACAAGCUGUCGCUUCCUCUGCAGUAUUUGUCUGAUGGAGCAAAGGCACUCGGCGCGGCUCGGUGCAAAAAGACAACAAUGUGACCGGCGUGCAUACAGCACGGAUCGUACUGGAAAUUUGACACGGCACCAGAGAACACACACGGGAAAGAACCCCUUCAAGUGCAGUGUAUGUGGGAAGGCGUUUGCACAGUCGCCACAUCUGCAAGUA